CAUGCAGUCGAGCGAACAGAUGAGAAGCUUGCUUCUCUGAUGUUAGCGGCGGACGGGUGAGUAACACGUGGGUAACCUACCUAUAAGACUGGGAUAACUCCGGGAAACCGGGGCUAAUACCGGAUAAUAUUUUGAACCGCAUGGUUCAAUAGUGAAAGACGGUUUCGGCUGUCACUUAUAGAUGGACCCGCGCCGUAUUAGCUAGUUGGUAAGGUAACGGCUUACCAAGGCGACGAUACGUAGCCGACCUGAGAGGGUGAUCGGCCACACUGGAACUGAGACACGGUCCAGACUCCUACGGGAGGCAGCAGUAGGGAAUCUUCCGCAAUGGGCGAAAGCCUGACGGAGCAACGCCGCGUGAGUGAUGAAGGUCUUCGGAUCGUAAAACUCUGUUGUUAGGGAAGAACAAAUUUGUUAGUAACUGAACAAGUCUUGACGGUACCUAACCAGAAAGCCACGGCUAACUACGUGCCAGCAGCCGCGGUAAUACGUAGGUGGCAAGCGUUAUCCGGAAUUAUUGGGCGUAAAGCGCGCGUAGGCGGUUUCUUAAGUCUGAUGUGAAAGCCCACGGCUCAACCGUGGAGGGUCAUUGGAAACUGGGAAACUUGAGUGCAGAAGAGGAGAGUGGAAUUCCAUGUGUAGCGGUGAAAUGCGCAGAGAUAUGGAGGAACACCAGUGGCGAAGGCGGCUCUCUGGUCUGUAACUGACGCUGAUGUGCGAAAGCGUGGGGAUCAAACAGGAUUAGAUACCCUGGUAGUCCACGCCGUAAACGAUGAGUGCUAAGUGUUAGGGGGUUUCCGCCCCUUAGUGCUGCAGCUAACGCAUUAAGCACUCCGCCUGGGGAGUACGACCGCAAGGUUGAAACUCAAAGGAAUUGACGGGGACCCGCACAAGCGGUGGAGCAUGUGGUUUAAUUCGAAGCAACGCGAAGAACCUUACCAAAUCUUGACAUCCUUUGACCGCUCUAGAGAUAGAGUCUUCCCCUUCGGGGGACAAAGUGACAGGUGGUGCAUGGUUGUCGUCAGCUCGUGUCGUGAGAUGUUGGGUUAAGUCCCGCAACGAGCGCAACCCUUAAGCUUAGUUGCCAUCAUUAAGUUGGGCACUCUAGGUUGACUGCCGGUGACAAACCGGAGGAAGGUGGGGAUGACGUCAAAUCAUCAUGCCCCUUAUGAUUUGGGCUACACACGUGCUACAAUGGAUAAUACAAAGGGCAGCGAAUCCGCGAGGCCAAGCAAAUCCCAUAAAAUUAUUCUCAGUUCGGAUUGUAGUCUGCAACUCGACUACAUGAAGCUGGAAUCGCUAGUAAUCGUAGAUCAGCAUGCUACGGUGAAUACGUUCCCGGGUCUUGUACACACCGCCCGUCACACCACGAGAGUUUGUAACACCCGAAGCCGGUGGAGUAAC
rnacentral:rRNA from 1 species